rnacentral:rRNA from 1 species
AUUGAACGCUGGCGGCAGGCCUAACACAUGCAAGUCGAACGAGUGGCGGACGGGUGAGUAAUGUCUGGGAAACUGCCCGAUGGAGGGGGCUAACUACUGGAAACGGUAGCUAAUACCGCAAACCAUCGGAUGUGCCCAGAUGGGAUUAGCUAGUAGGUGGGGUACAGACUCACCUAGGCGACGAUACCUAGCUGGUCUGAGAGGAUGACCCGCCACACUGGAACUUAGACACGGUCCAGACGCCUACGGGAGGCAGCAGUGGGGAUUAUUGCACAAUGGGCGAAAGCCUUAUCCAGCCAUGCCGAGUGUAUGAAGAAGGCCUUCGGGUUGUAAAGUACUUUCAGCGAGGAGGCGUUACUCGCAGAAGAAGCACCGGCUAACUCCGUGCCAGCAGCCGCGGUAAUUC